rnacentral:rRNA from 1 species
UACGUAGGGUGCGAGCGUUGUCCGGAAUUAUUGGGCGUAAAGGGCUCGUAGGCGGUUUGUCACGUCGGGAGUGAAAACUCAGGGCUCAACCCUGAGCCUGCUUCCGAUACGGGCAGACUAGAGGUAUGCAGGGGAGAACGGAAUUCCUGGUGUAGCGGUGAAAUGCGCAGAUAUCAGGAGGAACACCGGUGGCGAAGGCGGUUCUCUGGGCAUUACCUGACGCUGAGGAGCGAAAGCGUGGGGAGCGAACAGG